rnacentral:rRNA from 1 species
UACGGAGGAUGCGAGCGUUAUCCGGAUUUAUUGGGUUUAAAGGGUGCGUAGGUUGUUUUUUAAGUCAGCGGUGAAAGUUUGUGGCUCAACCAUAAAAUUGCCGUUGAAACUGGAGGCCUUGAGUGCACACAGGGGUGCCGGAAUUCAUGGUGUAGCGGUGAAAUGCUUAGAUAUCAUGAAGAACUCCGAUCGCGAAGGCAAGUGUCCGGGGUGCAACUGACGCUGAGGCUCGAAAGUGCGGGUAUCAAACAGG